UCAGGGGCCGCCGAAAACCUGGAACAGAGUAGGCA
rnacentral:ncRNA from 1 species